rnacentral:rRNA from 1 species
CCUACGGGAGGCAGCAGUGAGGAAUAUUGGUCAAUGGACGAGAGUCUGAACCAGCCAAGUAGCGUGAAGGAUGACUGCCCUAUGGGGUGUAAACUUCUUUUAUAGGGGAAUAAAAUGUUCCACGUGGGGGAUUUUGUAUGUACCAUAUGAAGAAGGAUCGGCUAACUCCGUGCCAGCAGCCGCGGUAAUACGGAGGAUCCGAGCGUUAUCCGGAUUUAUUGGGUUUAAAGGGAGCGUAGGUGGAUUGUUAAGUCAGUUGGGAAAGUUUGCGGCUCCACCGUCAAAUUGCAGUUGAAACUGGCAGUCUUGCGUCCAGUCGCGGUGGGCGGCAUUCGUGGUGUCGCGGUGCACUGCUUCGCUCUCACG